GCGGGAGUAGCUCAGUCCGGUAGAGCCCCACCUUGCCAAGGUGACUGUCGCGGGUUCAAAUCCCGUCUCCCGCUCCA
rnacentral:tRNA from 2 species